rnacentral:rRNA from 1 species
GAUGAACGCUAGCUACAGGCUUAACACAUGCAAGUCGAGGGGAAACGGCAUUUAGUGCUUGCACCGAAUGGACGUCGACCGGCGCACGGGUGAGUAACGCGUAUCCAACCUACCCAUUACUGUGGGAUAACCUGCCGAAAGGCAGACUAAUACCGCAUAGUCUUCGAUGACGGCAUCAGAUUUGAAGUAAAGAUUUAUCGGUAAUGGAUGGGGAUGCGUCUGAUUAGCUUGUUGGCGGGGUAACGGCCCACCAAGGCAACGAUCAGUAGGGGUUCUGAGAGGAAGGUCCCCCACAUUGGAACUGAGAUACGGUCCAAACUCCUACGGGAGGCAGCAGUGAGGAAUAUUGGCCAAUGGGCGCGAGCCUGAACCAGCCAAGUAGCGUGCAGGAUGACGGCCCUAUGGGUUGUAAACUGCUUUUGUAUGGGGAUAAAGUCAAUCACGUGUGAUUGUUUGCAGGUACCAUACGAAUAAGGACCGGCUAAUUCCGUGCCAGCAGCCGCGGUAAUACGGAAGGUCCGGGCGUUAUCCGGAUUUAUUGGGUUUAAAGGGAGCGUAGGCCGGAGAUUAAGUGUGUUGUGAAAUGUAGACGCUCAACGUCUGACUUGCAGCGCAUACUGGUUUCCUUGAGUACGCACAACGUUGGCGGAAUUCGUCGUGUAGCGGUGAAAUGCUUAGAUAUGACGAAGAACUCCGAUUGCGAAGGCAGCUGACGGGAGCGCAACUGACGCUUAAGCCCGAAGGUGCGGGUAUCGAACAGG